CAAUAGCGUAUAUUUAAGUUGUUGCAGUUAAAAAGCUCGUAGUUGGAUUUCGGAUGGGAUUUGCCGGUCCGUCGUUACGAUGUGCACUGGCCAGUCCUAUCUUGUUGUCGGGGACUAGCUCCUUGGAUUCACUUCCUGGGACUAGGAGCUGACGAGGUUACUUUGAGUAAAUUAGAGUGUUCAAAGCAAGCCUACGCUCUGAAUACAUUAGCAUGGAAUAACACGAUAGGACUCUGGCUUAUCUUGUUGGUCUGUGAGACCAGAGUAAUGAUUAAGAGGGACAGUCGGGGACAUUCGUAUUUCAUUGUUAGAGGUGAAAUUCUUGGAUUUAUGAAAGACGAACUUCUGCGAAAGCAUUUGUCAAGGAUGUUUUCAUUAA
rnacentral:rRNA from 1 species